CACCAACUCUUAAUUCAGCCAGUGUCUUCCUCCUUGUUCUGAUUUCAAUUUUCCUAUUUUUGAAACCCCCCUUUCUGGCACCUAUUUCCUGUUACAAUUAGGUCGAGUAUUGAAGCUGGUGCUGCCAUGGGACGGUUGAAGCUGUUACUGAUUCUGAUUUUGCUAUCUGGAGUUGAAAUUGCUUUGGAUUCCUAUCCAAUUUGAAUCCUCUAUCUUACUGCAACCAUGGUCAGUGCCGCGAAGGCUAAUACCGUUGCUGUUCCGGUUGCGUGAGAGUUACCGCUGCUGCCUUGAAACUAAAAGAGAAGAGAGUUGUUACGUUAAAGUAUGCGAUUGCGACAUCGAGUGACACAGGUUUGAAGACGCAAUUUGAAGCUGCGAGCGAUUAGUAGGUUUUCUUUAUGGUUUUAAUUGCUUUCAUAGAGUCCCCUCGCUCUUUUCCUUUGAAGUUUUAUUUUAUCAGAGGGGUAGGUGUUGUGUUUGGGUUUAUAUGACUUCUUAUGUAUAAGAGUUACUAUUAAUAAUACUUAUAUGAUUGUUAUUAUUA